CAGUAGUCAACGAGUUUGAUCCUGGCUCAAGAACGAACGCUGGCGGCAUGCCUAACACAUGCAAGUCGAACGAGACCUUCGGGUCUAGUGGCGCACGGGUGCGUAACGCGUGGGAACCUGCCUUUAGGUUCGGAAUAACUCAGAGAAAUUUGAGCUAAUACCGGAUAAUGUCUUCGGACCAAAGAUUUAUCGCCUUUAGAUGGGCCCGCGUUGGAUUAGCUAGUUGGUGGGGUAAAGGCCUACCAAGGCGACGAUCCAUAGCUGGUCUGAGAGGAUGAUCAGCCACACUGGGACUGAGACACGGCCCAGACUCCUACGGGAGGCAGCAGUGGGGGAAUAUUGGACAAUGGGCGAAAGCCUGAUCCAGCAAUGCCGCGUGAGUGAUGAAGGCCUUCGGGUUGUAAAGCUCUUUUACUCGGGACGAUAAUGACGGUACCGAGAGAAUAAGCCCCGGCUAACUCCGUG
rnacentral:rRNA from 1 species